UGACGUGACACUAUUUGGUUGGUUAUGUGUAAGAGAGGGGACUCACCUCUUAGGUGAGCACCCCUUACACCCUUAGUUUCUUCUGAUGAUGAUGAUGGAUGAUGAAUAUGAUAUUUAAGAAUACACAAGUAGAGGCUGAAAGCCAGUGCUAUACAAGUAGCUAGGCCCGCAUACAUACAUGUCUGGAGCAAAAUGGGCCGUGUAGAAGAGACUCUUCCUGAUGAAACCACAUUUCAGUACUCACCAUCACAAGGCUAUCCGGCUCAAAUCCCACCAUACACAAACCACCAUGAAAUUAAACAACCUCUUCCUCCAUCUCAAAUUCAGCAGCCACCUGCAAUUUACCAGCCUCAGCAUGGAAUUCCUCAAAUGUACAGCUAUGCCCCCCCGCCAGUUACAACUCCAAAUUGGUAUCCACCGCCGACUGUCCAGGAAUGGACCACUGGUCUCUUGGAAUGCUUCGAUGAUCCGGAAAUUGCUAUCAUGACUCUUUGUUUCCCGUGCGUCACUUUUGGACAGAUCGCAACGGCCAAACUUCCUGUGGCACUAGCGGACUGAUAUACAGUCUACUCGUAGCCUUUAUCGGCAUUCCUUGCAUAAUGUCGUGCACUUAUCGCACCAAGAUUAGGAGCCGCUACAACUUGUUAGAGACUCCAGCACCUGAUUGGGUAAUACACUUGUUUUGCGAGUAUUGUGCCCUUUGUCAAGAAUAUCGUGAACUUAAAAACCGAGGCAUGGACCCUGCUCUAGGAUGGCAAGGAAAUUUAUCCAAGCAGCAGCAACAAAUGGCUAAUUGUGCAACUAUGACUCCUCCAAUCAACCAAAGAAUAUGGGUUAAACAAUAUGGUUUCUUUUUUCAGUUUUAUUAUUUAUUACAACAUAUUUCAUCUAUCAUCUUUAUAAUCGAUACUAAAAUGUAUUUGGAUUUUUUUUUUUUUUGUUUCAUAAGGUGUUUAAACUUAUUAAUAUUUAUCAUUGUAGCUUUUCUUAUUCUGCAUUGAUUGUAAGAGAAAAUAACGAAAUAUAUCUAUAGUCAUGCAAGUA